CCUACGGGAGGCAGCAGUCGGGAAUAUUGCGCAAUGGAGGAAACUCUGACGCAGUGACGCCGCGUGCAGGAAGAAGGUUCUCGGAUUGUAAACUGCUUUAGACAGGGAAGAAAAAAGACAGUACCUGUAGAAUAAGCUUCGGCUAACUACGUGCCAGCAGCCGCGGUAAUACGUAGGGAGCAGGCGUUAUCCGGAUUUAGUGGGUGUAAAGGGUGCGUAGGCGGAGAAUCAAGUUAGUUGUGAAAUCCCUCGGCUUAACUGAGGAACUGCAGCUAAAACUACUUCCCUUGAGUGCUGGAGAGGAAAGUGGAAUUCAUGGUGUAGCGGUGAAAUGCUUAGAUAUUAGGAGGAACGCCAGUGGCGAAGGCGACUUUCUGGACAGUAACUGACGUUGAGGCACGAAAGUGUGGGGAGCAAACAGGAUUAGAUACCCUUGUAGUC
rnacentral:rRNA from 1 species